rnacentral:misc_RNA from 1 species
AGCAGCCGCGGUAAUUCCAGCUCCAAUAGCGUAUAUUAAAGUUGUUGCAGUUAAAAAGCUCGUAGUUGAAUUUCGGGAUCAAUAUGUUGGUCGUGCCUCGGUACGUACUAGCUUAUUGGUUUCUCCUUUCUGGAGAACCAUGAUGUCAUUUAUUUGGUGUCGUGGGGAAUCAGGACUGUUACUUUGAAAAAUUAGAGUGUUUAAAGCAGGCUCACGCUUGAAUACAUUAGCAUGGAAUAAUGAAAUAGGACGUUUGAUUCUAUUUUGUUGGUUUCUAGGAUCGACGUAAUGAUUAAUAGGGAUAGUUGGGGGCAUUAGUAUUCAAUUGUCAGAGGUGAAAAUUCUUGGAUUUAUUGAAGACUAACUACUGCGAAAGCAUUUGCCAAGGAUGUUUUCAUUAAUCAAGAACGAAAGUUAGGGGAUCGAAGACGAUCAGAUACCGUCGUAGUCUUAACCAUAAACUAUGCCGACUAGGGAUCGGAUGAUGUUAAUUUUUAAUGACUCAUUCGGUGUACCG